rnacentral:lncRNA from 1 species
GCCCCCAUGGCAUCCUAGGAACUUUCUCAGAAUUCUAAUUGACCAUUAUUUUCUUCCCCAAUAAGUUUCUUCAAAGACCCUGACUGACCUUUUUGAUCACCAACCAAUCUGGCUCUCCUGAAAGCUACGCCUGUACCCGGGAUCCUCCACGAGGACACGGCUUCUCAGUUGCUUCUAGGGUAAAAGCUCUCACGGGAGUCACCCAGAUGCCAGAUUCCACCAUCACCCUGGCAACCAUCUCAGCCUGAUGCU